UACGGAGGAUGCGAGCGUUAUCCGGAUUUAUUGGGUUUAAAGGGUGCGUAGGCGGUCCGUUAAGUCAGCGGUAAAAUUGCGGGGCUCAACCCCGUCGAGCCGUUGAAACCGGCAGACUUGAGUUGGCGAGAAGUACGCGGAAUGCGCGGUGUAGCGGUGAAAUGCAUAGAUAUCGCGCAGAACUCCGAUUGCGAAGGCAGCGUACCGGCGCCAGACUGACGCUGAGGCACGAAAGCGUGGGGAUCGAACAGG
rnacentral:rRNA from 1 species